CUGCAAAAGAACUGUUCAGAAGACUGGGGGAUUUACUCAUUUCCUAGUUUACUGGUCCAUGUAAGUAGAUGUGAAGAAAAAGGGGAAGGAUUGAAUCUCUGAGUUGGUUGAACUCGGCCCUGGGACAAGUUUGGAACUGUAAGCACAUUUUGAAGGUCUCCAGCAAGACAGCAUUCAACAAGCCUCUGCUGGAAUGAGCACCAACAGACUGCAAAUUGCAAAGUGCAUUGUAAUUGAAUCUGAUCUCUGGCUUUUACAGAGUGUGGCAAGUGAGAGUCUAAAUGCUGCUUGGCAGAUCCUUCACUCUGUCUUCUCCAUGUUGUUCAGUCAACGUACAGAGGCUUUGGUAUGGUCUUCGCCUGCCAUUUGUGGACUUCCUGUGAUGCGAAGGAUGU